rnacentral:rRNA from 1 species
GGGUCGGUAGGUUGGUCGUGCCACCGGUACGUACUGGUCUCACUGAUUCCUCCUUCCUGAAGAACCGUAAUGCCAUUAAUUUGGCGUUGCGGGGAAACAGGACUGUUACUUUGAAAAAAUUAGAGUGUUUAAAGCAAGCUAACGCUUGAAUACAUUAGCAUGGAAUAAUGAAAUAGGACGAUCGAUCCUAUUUUGUUGGUUUCUAGGAUUGACGUA